rnacentral:rRNA from 1 species
CUCGCCACUGCAAGACUACCCACUGAACUUAAGCAUAUUACUAAGUGGAGGAAAAGAAAACAACCGUGAUUGUCCCAGUAACUGCG